UACGGAGGGUGCAAGCGUUAUCCGGAUUCACUGGGUUUAAAGGGUGCGUAGGUGGGCAGGUAAGUCAGUGGUGAAAUCUCCGGGCUUAACCCGGAACUGCCGUUGAUACUAUUUGUCUUGAAUAUUGUGGAGGUAAGCGGAAGUAUGUCAGUGUAGCGGUGAAAUGCUUAGAUAUGACAUAGAACACCAAUUGCGAAGGCAGCUUACUACACAACGAUUGACGCUGAGG
rnacentral:rRNA from 1 species